rnacentral:rRNA from 1 species
UACGUAGGGGGCGAGCGUUGUCCGGAUUCAUUGGGCGUAAAGAGCUCGUAGGCGGCUUGGCAAGUCGGGUGUGAAAACUCCAGGCUCAACCUGGAGCCGCCAUUCGAUACUGCUAUGGCUAGAGUCCGGUGAGGGGAGUGUGGAAUUCCCGGUGUAGCGGUGAAAUGCGCAGAUAUCGGGAGGAACACCGAUGGCGAAGGCAGCACUCUGGGCCGGCACUGACGCUGAGGAGCGAAAGCGUGGGGAGCGAACAGG